GCGGAUAUAGCAUAGUGAUAGUGUUCUGAGAUUUCCGUCCUCAGAGGUGUGGGUUUGAUUCCCAUUGUCCGCUCCA
rnacentral:tRNA from 1 species